GGGUUAACGGGGAUCAUUUUGAGCGACCUCAGGUUCCACACCUCCUAUGUUUAGUUUCCCCAUGCAAACAUUUUGACAUGUGGUGCUUUUAUUUUGAAGGUAGAAAAACUGAUGUGUGGUGCUUUUAUUUUGAAGGUGGACUAACUGACAUGUGCUUUUAUUUUGAAGGUGGACAAACUGACAUGUGGUGCUUUUGUUUUGAAGGUGGACAAACUGACAUGUGGUGCUUUUAUUUUGAAGGUGGACUAACUGACAUGUGCUUUUAUUUUGAAGGUGCACAAACUGAGGUGUGGUGAAUUUAUUUUGAAGGUGCACAAACUGAGGUGUGGUGCUUUUGUUUUGAAGGUGGACUAACUGACAUGUGCUUUUAUUUUGAAGGUGGACAAACUGACGUUUGGUGCUUUUAUUUUGAAGGUGCACAAACUGAGGUGUGGUGCUUUUAUUUUGAAGGUGGACAAACUGACAUGUGUGCUGCUUUUAUUUUGAAGGUGCACAAACUGACGUGUGGUGUUUUUAUUUUGAAGGUAAAACACUAGAAGACAAACAUCUAAACCUGGAGAAAGACACAACUAUUAUCCCCGACCUGUGAAGAUGAGCCGGUCAGA